rnacentral:rRNA from 1 species
UAACGGCGAGUGAAGCGGCAAAAGCUCAAAUUUGAAAUCUGGUACCUUUGGUGCCCGAGUUGUAAUUUGGAGAGGGCAACUUUGGGACCGUUCCUUGUCUAUGUUCCUUGGAACAGGACGUCAUAGAGGGUGAGAAUCCCGUGUGGCGAGGAGUGCGGUUCUAUGUAAAGUGCCUUCGAAGAGUCGAGUUGUUUGGGAAUGCAGCUCUAAGUGGGUGGUAAAUUCCAUCUAAAGCUAAAUAUUGGCGAGAGACCGAUAGCGAACAAGUACAGUGAUGGAAAGAUGAAAAGAACUUUGAAAAGAGAGUGAAAAAGUACGUGAAAUUGUUGAAAGGGAAGGGCAUUUGAUCAGACAUGGUGUUUUGCGCCCUCUGCUCCUUGUGGGUGGGGGAAUCUCGCAGUUCACUGGGCCAGCAUCAGUUUUGGUGGCAGGAUAAAUCCGUAGGAAUGUAACUUGCUUCGGGAAGUAUUAUAGCCUAUGGGAAUACUGCCAGCUGGGACUGAGGACUGCGACGUAAGUCAAGGAUGCUGGCAUAAUGGUUAUAUGCCGCCCGUCUUGAAACACGG